UAACUGAAGAGUUUGAUCAUGGCUCAGAUUGAACGCUGGCGGCAGGCUUAACACAUGCAAGUCGAGCGGGGGAAGGUAGCUUGCUACUGGACCUAGCGGCGGACGGGUGAGUAAUGCUUAGGAAUCUGCCUAUUAGUGGGGGACAACAUCUCGAAAGGGAUGCUAAUACCGCAUACGUCCUACGGGAGAAAGCAGGGGAUCUUCGGACCUUGCGCUAAUAGAUGAGCC
rnacentral:rRNA from 1 species